UUCCGGUUCGGCGAAAUCACGGAUGAAAAGGGAAUCGGGUGAAAGUCCCGGACAGUCCCGCUGCUGUAAGCUCCAGACAUUUACGUUUGUCUACCCUCUGCAAGGCCACUGUCUUUUAAAUGAAGACGGGAAGGCAAGACAAACGGGAGUAAGUCAGAAGACCUGCAAA
rnacentral:ncRNA from 1 species